rnacentral:rRNA from 1 species
GAAGAGUUUGAUCAUGGCUCAGAUUGAACGCUGGCGGCAGGCUUAACACAUGCAAGUCGAACGAUGACUCUCUAGCUUGCUAGAGAAGAUUAGUGGCGGACGGGUGAGUAAUAUUUAGGAAUCUGCCUAGUAGUGGGGGAUAGCUCGGGGAAACUCGAAUUAAUACCGCAUACGACCUACGGGUGAAAGGGGGCGCAAGCUCUUGCUAUUAGAUGAGCCUAAA